GCUAGUGGCUACAAACGCUGGGAGGGUAUAUUCGACUAAAAUUUGAGUGCUGUCAGCUCAGCUGCAUGAUCUCGUCAGGUUUCGGGACUUGGAAGGCUUGACUUGCUGCUGCCACCGGACUGACUGGAGGCCUGCUGCAGGCCACAAGAACUGGAGGAAUCUUGCGUACAAAGAUCGAUUGAGGUCGGGCGGAGUUGUAGAGCAUGCACACAGCAUCGGCCCUUGUGAUUUCCAAGGACAGGGAUAUAGCCAAGGACAGGGGAAAGGGCUCCUAUCAACGUUCUGCAUUAGCACCUCAUGGACACCAGCCACACAUUAAGUAUCCGUUAACUAAUAGAUUGAUUCUGGUUAGGUGAUUAGUAGCAGUUUCUGGCCGGUGACAAAUGGCGUAUUUUUAUAAUUUACUAUAUGAGAUUAAGUUCCUGCGGAUCAGACUAUAUCUUUCCAUAAUUCCAGCUGUAUACCAAGUUAAUGAGCCACAUGGAGAGCUACAUAUAUAGAUCGAAAGCACCCAGUUGAGGUGUUUCUUCU
rnacentral:lncRNA from 1 species